CACUCUGUCCCAAAAUCAGUAGGUGUCCCAUCCUCCGUUCCCCAUCUCUUUCCGGGAUUCCUCGUGCUCUUGCCGCCGGCCGAGAUUCGCGAUUCUCCCCCCGCCGGCCAUCUUCCCCGGGAGCGGCGGCUGCUCCGUCGCGCAGCCUUGCCGCAGUACCACCAGUUAGCUCCGUCGUGCUGCUCUCGUGCAGGUACAGAACAGUACGCCGUCGCGCAGAAUCACAACAAUGGCCGCCGGGAAACUCCAGAGCAUGCCACGCCACGGUGCCGCAGAUAGGCUCACGGGCAGACGCAGGAGCCACACGCGGGCGGGAACCGUCACCGUGGAUGAAACGGGCUCGUCCUCCACAGGCACACCUCACGCCGCCGAGCGUGGCGUCCAGGAGGAGGGCGGCGGCACCGCCUGCGACGACUGCGCAUUGGCAGAUGUCCGGCUCGACGAUCUUGGCCUCGUUGUUGGGCGAUAGCAGCUCGGCCGUUCCAUGCCGACUGCCGACGGCUUUCUUCGAUCGAGUCCGUGGGCGCGCCGAUGGCUGGCCGUGUUCUCCGUCAGCCCAAACCGCAGCAGGAUCUCCGCCUGCGGUAGCGGCUUCGGGUGCGCGACCAUGGCGACCGGCCUCCAACGACCGUCCGCUCUGACAACGGCUGCGGCAAUGUUAUAGGGCGCCGAGCCGCCGACAGCCACCCGGGGAGGUGAAGAUCACAUGUCCUCUUAACUUGACCAACGGCCUAUCGUCGUGCUGCGGCGGCCGGGCCGCCGGUAGGAUGGGCGUGUACGUCCGCUCUGGACCAUGCCGCACGCACGCCACGCGGGAGCUGGUGGAGCAGUACGUCGGCGCCAGCGACCUCAUCACCAUGUGACGGUGGAUGGCCGGACCAGCUGCAUAAGGGUCGUCGCGGAGAUGAAGCCGACCAUGAUGGGAGAAUGUUGUCGAGGAACAGAGACGCCGUGGAGAUGGCAAUUGCAGAGCUGGCAUCGGAGUGGAAGAAGAAGGUGGACGUGGCCAAUGAGAUCCAGUGGGAGGCCGCAGCAGCCUCCUUCUCGCGCAUUGUCGUUGCUGUCGUCGAUACGUAUAUUCAGUUUGUAAAUAUGAUGAGGCGAGUUAGAUUGUCCUAGAUAUUCAGUUUGUAAAGAACAGAUGUCUUGUUUUCAAACACAAAA